rnacentral:rRNA from 1 species
GUGCCAGCAGCCGCGGUAAUACGUAGGCAGCGAGCGUUGUUCGGAGUUACUGGGCGUAAAGCGUGCGUAGGCGGUGGCCCAAGUCUGGUGUGAAAUCUCCCGGCUCAACCGGGAGGGUGCGCCGGAAACUGGGUUGCUUGAGUACUGGAGAGGCAAGCGGAAUUCCUGGUGUAGCGGUGAAAUGCGUAGAUAUCAGGAGGAACACCCGUGGUGUAGACGGCUUGCUGGACAGUCACUGACGCUGAGGCACGAAAGCGUGGGGAGCAAACAGGAUUAGAUACCCUGGUAGUCCACGCCCUAAACGAUGCAUACUUGGUGUGGGCAGUUCAGUCUGUCCGUGCCGAAGCUAACGCGAUAAGUAUGCCGCCUGGGGAGUACGGUCGCAAGGCUGAA